rnacentral:rRNA from 1 species
GACGAACGCUGGCGGCGUGCCUAACACAUGCAAGUCGAACGGGGUACCUUCGGGUACUUAGUGGCGAACGGGUGAGUAACGCGUGAGAAACCUGCCUUUCAGUGGGGGACAACAGUUGGAAACGACUGCUAAUACCGCAUGAUGUUAUUUGAGGGCAUCCUUGAAUAACCAAAGCUUUAUGUGCUGAAAGAUGGUCUCGCGUCUGAUUAGCUAGAUGGCGGGGUAACGGCCCACCAUGGCGACGAUCAGUAGCCGGUCUGAGAGGAUGAACGGCCACAUUGGGACUGAGAUACGGCCCAGACUCCUACGGGAGGCAGCAGUGGGGAAUAUUGGGCAAUGGGGGAAACCCUGACCCAGCAACGCCGCGUGAAGGAAGAA